CAGUAUCUGCUCGUGCCGUAAUGUAUUCUAUCCGAAAAAAACAAACCCACUUAAGCGUUUGAAAAAUUAUAUAAUAUAUUAAAUAAUAAAAAUAUAAAUAUUAUAAAAUAAAUUAAUAAAAAUAAUUAAAAAAUAAAUUUAUUAAUUUUAUAUUAAUUGUAAGUCAAAAAAAAUUGAUUUAAUAAACAGUGAGAUCUUUUUUUUCUUCUC
rnacentral:lncRNA from 1 species